rnacentral:rRNA from 1 species
GGGAUUGCCCCAGUAACGGCGAGUGAAGCGGCAACAGCUCAAAUUUGAAAUCUGGCCUCGGCCCGAGUUGUAAUUUGCAGAGGAUGCUUCUGGCGCGGUGCCUUCCGAGUUCCCUGGAACGGGACGCCACAGAGGGUGAGAGCCCCGUAUGGUCGGACACCAAGCCAGUGUGAAGCUCCUUCGACGAGUCGAGUAGUUUGGGAAUGCUGCUCUAAGCGGGAGGUAUACGUCUUCUAAAGCUAAAUACCGGCCAGAGACCGAUAGCGCACAAGUAGAGUGAUCGAAAGAUGAAAAGCACCUUGAAAAGGGGGUUAAACAGUACGUGAAAUUGUUGAAAGGGAAGCGCCUGUGACCAGACUUGCGCCGGGCGGAUCAUCCAGCGUUCUCGCUGGUGCACUCCGCCCGGCUCAGGCCAGCAUCGGUUCUGGCAGGGGGACAAAGGCGGCGGGAACGUGGCUCCCCCGGGAGUGUUAUAGCCCGCCGUGCAAUGCCCCUGCCGGGACCGAGGUUCGCGCAUCUGCAAGGAUGCUGGCGUAAUGGUCACCAGCGACCCGUCUUGAAACACGGACCAAGGAGUCGUCCAUUACGGCGAGCGUUUGGGUGUAAAACCCCUGCGCGGAAUGAAAGUGAACGUAGGUGAGAGCUUCGGCGCAUCAUCGACCGAUCCUGAUGUUCUCGGAUGGAUUUGAGUAAGAGUCGUAACGGACGGACCCGAAAGAUGGUGAACUAUGCCUGUAUAGGGUGAAGCCAGAGGAAACUCUGGUGGAGGCUCGCAGCGGUUCUGACGUGCAAAUCGAUCGUCAAAUAUGGGCAUGGGGGCGAAAGACUAAUCGAACCAUCUAGUAGCUGGUAC